rnacentral:rRNA from 1 species
GACGAACGCUGGCGGCGUGCCUAAUGCAUGCCAGUCGCACGCGGCACCUUCGGGUGCUGAGUGGCGAACGGCUGAGGAACACGUGGGGACCUGUCCGGGAGUGGGGGACAACACCGCGAAAGCGGUGCUAAUCCCGCAUACGCUCUGAGGAGGAAAGCCGAAAGGCGCUCCCGGGUGGCCCUGCGGCCCAUCAGGUUGUUGGUGGGGUAACGGCCUACCAAGCCAAUGACGGGUCGCUGGUCUGUGAGGACGACCAGCCAGGCUGGGACUGGGACACGGCCCAGACUCCUACGGGAGGCAGCAGCAAGGAAUUUUCGGCAAUGGGCGCAAGCCUGACCGAGCAACGCCGCGUGCAGGAAGACGGCCUUCGGGUUGUAAACUGCUUUUGCUAGGGAUGAUAACAGACAGUACCUGGCGAAUCAGCCCCGGCUAACUCUGUG